UUUGUGGGUUGUGUGUGCGAAACAAACAGGUCAGCGAGGCUGAGGAGUGGAUGGUUGGGUGCUGAAAUGACUCAAGGCAUGGACUUAAGUGUGAGG